GGAAUUUUCCGCAAUGGGCGCAAGUCUGACGGAGCGACGCCGCGUGCGGGAUGAAGGCCUUCGGGUUGUAAACCGCUGUCAGUGGAGUGGAAGUGGCUUGACCUAACCGCAGAGGAAGUCCGGGCUAAGUACGUGCCAGCAGCCGCGGUAACACGUACCGGACGAACGUUAUUCGGAAUCACUGGGCUUAAAGAGUGCGUAGGCGGCCUUUCAGGUGGGGUGUGAAAGCCCACGGCUCAACCGUGGAACUGCGCUCCAAACCGAAAGGCUUGAGGGAGACAGGGGUGAGCGGAACUGAUGGUGGAGCGGUGAAAUGCGUUGAUAUCAUCAGGAACACCAGUGGCGAAGGCGGCUCACUGGGUCUCUUCUGACGCUGAGGCACGAAAGCUAGGGGAGCGAACGGGAUUAGAUACCCCUGUAGUC
rnacentral:rRNA from 1 species